UCGCCCCAACGCACGCGCGCACGCACGGACACACGGUCCUUGUCCCGCUGCCCCGGUGUCGCCGAGACGCGGGGAGGGAAGGCGCUGCCCUGCGCCCCCCCCGCCGCCGCCGCUUGCAGAAAGGAGAAGCAGCGGAUUUCUGCCGGGCGUUUGUGAUUUAGAAGGAGCCGAACGGCCCUGGGUGAAUGCUUCGUCUAUGCCGAAGCUGAAGUCCCAUCCUAGGUAAAAAAAAACCUCCUGCGCCUUCUCCCCUGAGUCACCCAGGUUAAGUGAAACAUGCACUGCUUACACCAGCUAAAGUCAUUGAUCAGAGGAGGGAAAGGUCUGACAAAAAUGGGGUUGGCAGCCACUCUGCAAAAAUCCCGCAUUGUGUAAGAAGCCAGUACAAUGAUCGAAUGUCACUGAGAGACAGCUGGCCUUUCCUGCUCUGUUUCCACUUGGCUAUUGCUGGUGUUUUGUAUGUAAAGUCAAGGCCAAAAUAAACAAGAAUGAGCUUUGGCCAAGUCGGGUUUAUGCAUCAGGCCAAAUGAUAUGCAUGGAUUUGUGGCCAUAAUCAUCGUAUGUGUUGCAAAAAAGAGUUUUGAUGUCAAUGCUUUCCUUUGACAUGGGCAAAGAAGAGAAGGAGGAAAAUGAAUACUUCAGGCCUUAUUCUGUUUGCGCAAAGCUGGAGUCGUACCUCUUGGCUGAGAUGAGUGUGAAAACGUUGUGUGAUGGCUUCUUUGAUGGCUCUUAAGGGAAACAUCUGGUGUGUGUCUUACGGACAAAAUCCAAGGUGAAAAGCUUGUUCAAAGCAAAGUGAAAAGCCAUAUGAGGGGCCUGAGGAAGAGUUUUACCAUCAUGAACAGUCCAUAUCAGUAUUACCAGUGAAGGCUGUGGCUGGGACAUCCACAUCCUUGCCAUCAAGCAGCUCUCUGAUCUGGAUGAGAUUCUUCUGCUUCACCACUCCUUGUGCUUUGGAUCAUCUUGCCUGAAGAACCAAUCUGUGGGAAAGGAAGAGCAAGGCUAAACAUGCAGCCCAAAUGCCAACGGCUCAGCUGAACACCCUUUCAAGGAGACCAUGACUUUCAUGUUUUUGGCAAGCAGAUGUGAGGAAACAAGUGGAAUAGAUGAAGUUGUGGAAUAUGAGUUAUUUCAUGGAGAUGGUCUCAAGACCAGUUACACCUAAGAGGUAAAUGCAUUGAGAAUGUUAUCAGAGAUGCUGUUCUCACUCAGUCACUUCCAGACAAAAGACAGACUCAGUUUGCUAAACUGAAGAAGGGGUUGCUUUUUUAUCUAGCAGUUUCUGCUGCAGAUGCAAUACUUGGCUUUGCACCAAGCCGGGCAUGCAUCUGCCCCUCAUUAUCACCAGUAUGAAUGAUGCAGUCAGAUGAAGCGAGACGAGCUUUUAUUGUAUGGUGCAUCAAGCAGAAAGGAAUCCUUCUGAAAUAUCAGGAUGGGUAUAUUGUAAGGCCUAAAUGGGCUGCUAUGUCAUUUGUUCUGCUCUCUGCUAUCACUCUACCCACAGCCUUUCAGACAGUCACCAGUACUCUGAGCCCUCUAAGUGGAGUUUCGCUGAGGGAUCUCCUCCAGAAAACCAUCCCAACUUCAUGCCAAGGCUUCCAGGGAUGGCAGAUUGCCUUCUCAGUGCCUUUCCUUGAAAUGCAGCACCAAUCGAUGGUUAAUCACCUGAAGCAUUAGAAAAAUAAAUAAAUAACCCCCCCCCCACCCCCAAAACAGCCCUUUUUUCUGGGGGGGUUGUGGGUCACCUGGCUUGGAUGUACAACCACUGGUCCUUGCGUCGAAUUUCUCCAACAACAUCCCACACUCAAGGAACAGGAGUGCCUGGAAAGUGCAUGAUAGGACCUCUCCUCUUCCAUGCAGCUGUGGAAAUGCCAGCCUUUGGCUACCUGAUGAGCAGGUGAGGCAGGUAUGCUCCGCUUGUUGUUUGCUCUGCUUGACAUAGGCCUGACCCGAGCUGAUGAUGUGAGCCUGGACUAACGUGGCUAGAACUGAAAUCUGAGUCUGGGCUCUGUAGAAUGACUGACCAGUUCCCAGAGGUCCAAACCUUGUCGCUGAGAACAAAAUCACAGUUCCUGUCUGUAUCAGAGUUCAGGAGUCACAAACAUCAGCAUCAGCUGAAGACACGCCAGUCUGCAACAGUGCUGGGCCAGAGUCCACAGGGCAGCAUGGCUAGGACUGGGGAAAUGUAGCUCUAACUUGCACCGAUUUGUGCUGAUCCCUCAGCCUCUGUGUUGGGUAGAAAUCACCAGACUGUCUUCUCCUGCUCCUGCACCGUUCUACUGUGGGGACAAAGUGGUGGGUAGGUGAGUGCAAAAGGGAACAGGGUAAGCAUAGCAAGCUCAUCUCUUUACCAGGCGAGGUUCCCCUCAUGCCAGUGACUGAACUGCAUUUCGGUUAAUUCACCAUGGCUUUAUCUUCCCUGCAGAGCAGCAACUGAUGUCACGUUUGACUUGUCCUCUUUUCAUCCUCCCUACAAAGGGUCUUCUGUGGUUUACCAUCUUUUGAAAUAACAUCCUGACUUGAGAGAGAUGUUUCUGUAGAUUUUACGUGUGGUUACCCCGCCUGUUGCUCAUCACAUUUUAGUUAUUUCAGCAAUUUCUGCAUACCACUGAACAACCUCAUUCCCACCAUAGGGCAGAAGUACAUAUCUCAAGCCUGUAUACCUUCCUCCAUAUCCUCACGGGUAUAUUUUACCCCAAUUUUUCUAACUUCCUCUCCUCCUCCAGGUGCAUGACAGACUGAUGAUGUCUCUGGCUGCAUACCUGGGUUGGAAUAUUCUUGUCCUUUUUUUUGCAUUGCCAUCCAAGGCACAGUCAGAAUUGAGGAAAACUCCAGUCCAGAGAAAUAAGGAGACUUGAAAAUCAACAGUUGCAAAAGAAGAGGAGGAACAUUGCCAGUGUUCUCAGGUGGGGUUAGGCUUGUGAGGAAGCUGGCCUGCUGCUGUGUGGAAGGUUCACAUUGCACAGAAGAACCGGUAGGCAAAAUAUCCUUCCUCCCUGUCUCCCACCCCAAUUUUAAGCUGGAAGUGUUCAGAGUGCCAGUGUGUGGCAGUCUUGAUUUUGACAAGUGGCAGAAGGCUGCCGUCAGCCAAAGGCUGUUCUGAAACAUGUUGGCAUGGAAGAAUAUGGUCUUUAUUUUGUCAGCAUUAGGAAAGAAAAAAGAAUCCAUCCAAAUCUGCUUCAAUUGCAGGUAAAGGUAGAUUCAGUCCACAGCAGAAAUAGUUUAAAACUGUAGUUUUUGAAAUAAGGGUAUACUUUGGUCAUGGAAGUGGGAUAUCAUGUCUGUCCAUCAUAUCUACCAACCCUACGGAGGACAGUCUUUUGAAUACCCAAGGCAUCUCAGAUACCGCCAGGCACCUGUGUUUAGCCAACUGACCCCAAACCCUAGAGUUAAAUGGAAUGACUUCCACCUUUAAAAUCAAGAAAGUUGAAUCUGAUCCCUACAUACCAAAGAAAGUCUGGACUUUAUUCUCUCUCCAGUUCUGAUCCUCAUAUACAAAACAAGACAUUUUAAUAUAUAAGCUACAUAAAAUACAUAAAAUAAAGAAAUGUAGGUGAAGGAAGAAAGACCUUUGACUUAAAAUCUCUCAGUUCCUAUAGCAUCAAGGCUCUAUGGUUUUGUUUGGAGAUUUUAAUAGAAGCUAUUUCAGUUCCAACAUGAACUUGCUGAAUGUUCACUCAGGCUGUGACUAUACUAGGGGAUAAGAUGGGCCAGGAACAAUUCUUUGACACUUAAGGCAGCAGUACGACCUGCCUCACAUCCAUGCAGCUGCACUUUUUAGCCGCCAAAACUGGAAGACUGUGUCAAAAACGUCCAUCGGCAUGGUCCCUGUUAUGUGCUAACCCCAAAUCAUGCCCGAGUAUGGGCUGGGACAGUGGUAGAUGGCAUAGGCCCAAAUUAUGCCAUGGAUUGUGCUAUGGACUGGAUGACAGCGUGUCUUUCCUUGAGAACAUGUCCUGGCCUGGUCUGACAGCUCCUGGAAUACCAAAAUCAUAAACCUGUUCCUUGUGUAUUACCAUAAAAAGUCAUAAAGUGGGGCUGAAGGGUGCAUGCGUAGAUUGCAAGAAAAGAAAACUCCUCAGGUUUUAGCUUCUUGAACCAGCAAGGCCUUCUUCAGGUUCAAAGGUGUGGAAGGUGUCCAUUACAACCAGUCUUGGUCCUGUAAUGAAUCAACAGCAACUGCUUCAUUCAUAGCUCUUUGAAAGGACUUUCUUGGUGUCUUUCAUUUCUGAAGCAUUAAUGAACUGACCCACUAAAUUAAUCCACAAGGAGAGGAAGAGUUUGCAUGAAGAAAUGUUGCCAUAUUGUCAUGGUUCUUAUGAAGAAAUGGCCCAGAAGGAUGUGACAUAUUUUGUAUGUCUUGAGAGUAACAGACCAUCUGAAAGAACACAGCAGCCCUGCCUCCUGGCCUGCUCUCCCUGUUCUUCAUUAGCUAAUCUUUCUUGAGAGGUAGGGGAAAAAAAAUAACUAGGUCAAGCAGUGAAGAAUGUCAUUUCUCUAGGCCACAUUUAGUGACCAGAAUAUGAAAUUUCUGCUGAAAUAAAAGCCAAAAUAUGUGCAGAUCUCUCACUGAGAAAGAAUUGAUUAAGACCUAGAAGUGAUGUCUAUGAUGGCAUCUUAAAUUUCUCUUCUCUCAGGGGGUGGCAUCAUAGGAAAUGGGUUCUGUAAUGUUCAGGGGAAGGAUACCAUGUUACUGGAAAGUGCUGCACGUGGGGAGGUGCCUUGUAGCAGCACUGCUUUCAGAACAAGGUCCUGCUCAUUUGCCUCUCCUCUGCCAUUGCUCUUCACUGGAGACUCUUCACUGGGGACUCUUUACUCCAUGACCUGCUCAGUAGCUCUCAGAAAAGGCCAGCCUGUUGAUUGGGGAAAAUGGGGCUAUGAUGCUGAGGAAAGAUAUGCCAACAGGUGAGAUUCAGGAUGGGCUGGGGGAACGGAGUGGCAUGGAGGCAGGAACAAGAGGUGGGACCUGUCUUUCCACGAUACAGCAGGUCACUCUUCAGUGCAUGGAUUUUGGCUAGAAACCAGUAAGUGACCCUAUUUCAGUACAGUAGUGUGGAAAUGGCAUGCCAUCGAGAAUGUCUCAAGGGACACCUGGAUGCUCUGGGCUUCCUAAACAUGAUUACUGAGUGUUUUGUGUCCUGUUGUGUGCACACAAGACAAAGCUGUUCCUUUUUACUGUUGGAUGUGAGCCUGGCACUCAGGGCCUGAAGGAAAUGGCAUGCUAUCACUGCAGAAUCUCUCCUCAUUUAGCUAUCUGUGGGGGAGAGAUGAUGGCUGUCUGAAGCACCCUUCAAGAUAUCAUUAGCUAAGUGACAUAUCAAAGCUGGUCUCAAGGGUCUUUGAUUUUCCAUCUGAGAGGAGUGCCCGCUUCUACGGAAAAACCGUGGAAUAUCACCUAGGCAAACUGGAAAGUGCCUGGAGGAAAGUCAGCAGAAAAGAAUGAGAGAUAUCAAACAUGGCCUGGGAGGAGAAGGUGAAAGAAAUGAAUUUUUUCAGUCUUCAAAACUGAAAGAUAGUAACGGCCUCCUCUUUAGUUACAGGGAAUAAUAGCUUACACCUCUAGGACCACGUGAUGGACUCAGAGAGGGAUGUUCAUCGCAGGAAAGAGAUACUUACAGUUAGACAAUUGAAUUUCCUGUACCUCACUUCAACAUCUUUAAACUAGGGAGAAUGCUGGAUGCUUUGGUCUUGUGCAACAGAAAUAUAAUGUCAUAUGUGCAGUGUCUUUCUGCCUAUCUGUACUAUAUCUAAUAAUAUGACUGUCAGGACCCUAAAAUACCAGUGUGAUAUAAAGCUACUAUUGCACUCUUCAGUUUCAUUAAAUCAUCAGCAUGAGGACUUCAUGAGCAAAAAUCCGUUUUGAGUCCAGUGCAAAACCUGCCAUGCUGUUCUUAAUUUCUGUUACAGGUCUGCAAAUCUCUGGAGCCAGCUAUCAUGUGAGAUAGUUUCAAGACAAUGAAAAAAGUUCUGAGCUGCAUUAGAAAGUCUGUCUGAAGUUGAAGUAUUUUUUUCUCUUUCUCCUCAGAAACUUCUUAGUGUGGGAAUAAAAUUGUCUCCAGAGAUGCUCAGAGUGGGAAUAAAGGUACGUGACUGAACAUAAUAGAGUUAUGCAAGUAUUUUAGGAUAGGAAUGGAAAACUAGAGCUGAAAAGUUAGUUACAAUGGAUCUGGGUCCCAACGCUCCCCUCUCCCCCCCAAAAAACCUAAUCAGCUAGAAAAGAAUCUCUGAAUAUGUGAGAAAUAAGAAAAUAAGAAGUUAGGAUAAGCUCAGUAGAAAUGAGCCCACAGAAGACAAAUAAUCUGAAACUUCUUUUCUUUUAUUUGCAUUAAAAAGUAUUUUUUUAUGAUAAGAUACUUAAGAUAAUAAAUUUUACCUACAAGAGUGGAAGAGGAGACAGUGCAAGAAGAGAGUUCGUUAAAGAAUACCUCAGUAGAUUAGAUACAGUCAAUUCAACUGGCCAUGACACGAUUUCCCCUUGGGUACUAAUGAAUCAGCUGAAACAGUUCCUGUACUGUAAAUAAUUCUAGUUAUGAGAGCUUAGGGAGGGAAAGCAAGUCUCAGGCAACUGGAGGAAGGCGGAGAUAUCACCUAUCUCCAUACAGAGAAAAAAAGGAGGAUCAAGACAAUUACAGAUGAAGUGGCCUGCUUUCAGUUCCUUGCCAGAUACUGGAAUUUGGUAGUUACCUAUAAAUUCAUAAGCACCUGGAAGUACUACGAUGGUGAUGAAAAACAACUAGUAUGGAUUUGUCAAGGACAAAUCAUGUUAAAUCACUGUCUUCCCAGUUUUGACAGGAUGAGCAGGUAAGGAAGCAUAAAGAGAAUAUGUUAUGUCUUGGCUUUGAAAAAGCAUUUGGCACUGUUUCAUAUGAUACUAUGUUAAGUAAACUAGGAAAUAUUAAGGUAGGAUUCAUCUUCCCUACAUUAAAUGUGUGUUAAGUAUCUGAUCUGAGCCAGUCACCCUGAUGCAAAUAAAGGUGCUUUUACAGGCUAGUUAAUCUCACCUACCUUAUGAUGGGACAAAUUGCAGCCUGCAGGUCCCCAUUUCUCUCCUCUGACUGUAAAGAGAGACUAGGUUUACUAGCUCAGAAUUUCUCAUGUCUUUUAGACACUCGACUUAGGGCAUAUGAAUCUUUCUCAGAGUCUAAAUCAGUGGUAGAUCUUUUUUAAUUUAUGUCCUCUUAAAUAUUUCCCUCUGGAGGGAAGAUCAUGACUACUGUCAUGACUACCUAGUACAGAUUUGCUGCCAGCUGGGAAGAAAAUUAAAUAGUCUCCUUGGGAUGUGGGUCUUAUUUAACAUUUUCCUUAGUAACUUCAACUUUAACAGGCCAGGAGUCUGCUAAACAUCAGGUAGGAAGAUGCAGCAAAGUAAAGGACUGAACCUAAGUUUCGUGGGUCUAAGCUUGGUGCUUUGGUCUGAAGACUACCUUUGUUCUUUGCAAUAGGAAUUUCCAUUAGCUGGGUCCUAAACCCGCGCAGGAUUAUACUUUAAGCUUUCAGUAAAUAGUUCUUUCUCCUCCUUUCCUCCCCUCCCCCUUCCCCUUCCCCUUCCUUCCUCUCAUGUACCUUAUUACAUCUUAUUCUCACUAAAACAACAACUCUGUGUCCCUUUGCUCUGUGCUGGAACAUGAUGAGACCCUGCAAUAUCUAAGAUACUGCAUUUACUCCAUGCGGUAUAACAUAGCAGAGGAACCCUGUGCAUUCAGCAAGAUUUCACCAAAAGAAUAAUGUUUGUAAUAAGAAUAAAAUGCAUUUAAACACCAGACCCUUCUUCCUUCCUCCAGAAGCUCAUCCCAGUCCUCUGAUAUGGUAAAUAACUCUAUUUUUUUGUUUCAACCAAUUUUUUAGCUUUUCUUUUUCCAAGAAGCUCUUUUCAGUUUCUGGUCUAGAAUGCUAUAUGGAAAUAAACUUCUGCUUCAUGGGGGAUCUUAGAGUAUGGCUAGAUCCUGACACUCACUGUACCUUUGAGUAUUUUUCUUUCUUUCUUCUUUUUUCUUUUUUUUCCUGUUUUUUGGCAAAUCAUCCUUUUUCAUUCAAAAGUGCUGCUGUAAAAUAUACAGCAUGGUAAGAGAUUUCCUGUGGGACUUUUACCAAAUUGCUUAGGGUGGAAUAUAUCCUGUUCAACUUGAGCUUCAUGAAAGUCAGCUAGGUAGUUUAAGAUUAGUGUUCAGGCUUAUCUGAGGUGCAUACGAGCUUCCCAAGGGCAAUUCCUAGACACUUCAGAUGUGUAAAUCAGCCUAUGAAGGUGCUGAUAUUGUUCCAUAGAUUAGAGAGGGAAUGUAAGGCUAUAAUUUGACUGAUUUAUUUUAGUUGCCAGCUUUUGGGUACAAGAAAAAUGGACAAAUAGACUUCAGGUCUGUGAUGACUAUGGAGGAGCCCUGAGUGACCACCUCAGAUGUAGACAUCUGCACUGUAAAAGUCUAUGUUUAGACCACAGAUCCUUGCUCCUUUAAAAGAUGGAAGUUUGGGUUACCUAGUCAAAAUAGUGGCAGCUCAUCCUAUGCUGAGAUGAAUCACCUUUUGGAGAUAUCAUUGAACCAUCCUUCCAUUGAACCAAGAACCAAGAUAACUCAGUUAAACUAGACCAGGUUACCCAGGAACAGGUCAAGUGGUGGUGUAGAUCAGGAAUGGAAGUCUAGUCUUUUGGAUUUCCACAGAGUAGCUGGACUAGAAAAAUCUCUGCAUCAUCAGUUUUAAUGAAGCUAGAAUCUCCAGCUGAAAACCCUCAUUUGUCUUGUGGGUUUCUGUCUGUUUAGCAUUUAGAGCAGUGUUUCUCAGUCUUUUUUCUGUUAAAGCUCUGUCUAUCCUUCUAAGAUAGAGAGACAUAUAGAAGAUUGGUUCAUCUCAUACUUCCUUAUUUUUUUCUAGUUGGGAAAGUAAGAAUCGUGGUGGAUAAACAAGUUACCGAGCUCCUUUAGCCAAAAUAAAUAUAACUAUUACAAAAUCAUUAUAUUACUGAUUAAUUGGAAAUGUUUUAAUUGAAAAAGCUGGCAGUCCAAAAGCACAGAUGUCUUUCUGUCUGUGUGCAUGUACUGCCACACACCUAUCAGCUGGGUAGGAAUUUCCAAAGGAGAUAUAUUGUGUGUUUCCUGGGACCUUUCUGAUCUUUUCAGGGCUACAAAUGGCUUGGGGAGCAUCUGCUAGACAGCUCUGCAGGCAGUUUUUUUCACUUACAGUGGCUUAUUUCUCAGCUGAACGACUAUACCAGAACAUCCCUAUCCAUUUGUCUUUUAUGUCUUUUGGUUGUUCCAAUUGUGUCAAGCCAGGGUUAGUAAAAGUGAGUUCCUUCAAAAGCAAGCAAAGCCUCCAACACCCUGCACCCAUCCCAAUAUAUUAUUUUAUUGCAUUUACAGCUUUUCCAUUUGUCCCUGAGGAGUCACUUUCACAGCACUCAUAACCUUGUUAAAGGAGGAAACUGAGCAGGGGACAUCUUAGCACCUCGUGCACAGAAACUGGGGGAAAUGCGUUGCAAGAGUAUGUAGAGGAUGUAUGAGCUUUUCAAUGACCUACAUUAUUAAGUCAAGCUUCUGAAUCAAUGCCCGUAAGAACUAGGUGCUCCAUAAACCUGCAGUGGAAAUAACUCUGUGUGUGUGUGUGUGUGUACGUGUGCGUGUGUACGCCCCUGUGCAUUUCUUCCUACGUAUACAGGUUCUGCACAAGGCUAAAGCAAAGACAAGGUACAGUUUUUUGUAAAAAUCAAAGAAGACCCUCUUUCCCACAAUAAAUGACAGCCUAGAGAGGACUAUAUAUUAAGUCUUUUUCUUUUCUCUGUUAAAACAAGGAUUUGGACCUGAGUGUCUCAUGUGAGUGCCUUGAUCGGCUGUAUUAGGAGCUCAGCUCACUGAUUCUGAACAGAAAUGCCCUCUCCAACCAGUAGCACCUUCCCCAAAGAAAAUUCCAUUAAUAUAUUUGCACCAGCUUUUUCCAUUUCAAAAGUGUAAUUUAUUUUUUAACAAAGAAACUCUAAAUGUGCUACUAGAAAAGUUCCAAAACAGUUCCAGUCAUUUGCCCAUACUAAUCUACAAGCUUAAAAUAUAUGAUCUGUACCAUAGAAGAAGCCAAGAAUCCUAUCUUCUUCAGUGGAUAAAAGAAGUAGUUAAUCAUCAGUUACAGUGGUAAGAUCUUACCAAUAAAUCAUUUUUGCUGACAAAAGCGGUUUCUUUAAAAUGGGAUUCUGAAAGUUAAUUACCGCUUCUUAUUGGUCUUUGAGUCUUUUUAGUUUGCCACUACUUUUAAAAGUUUUUGUUAAAAAAUAACAAAGUUUCAGAACAAUUCCUGAACAUGUUUGUAGGUUGAAAGCACGCUUUGAUGAAGUUGUAGGGUUUUUUUCUUCCAUUUAAAGGAAAUAGAAGUGUUACAAGAUAAUUCAUGAGAAAUAGAAAAUAGGUUUUCCACCGUCUGUGAAAUGCAAGUUCCUUUAUUAUUUCCUACAUAGUUUCUCCUCCUUUUUCAGCUCUAGCAGCUCUAAGAUAGGGUUACCCUUAAACUUGCUUUCUUUAGACAGUAUUGGGAGACAUAAUCAUGCCCCUUUAGCUAGCGCUACACUUCCAUGAACCGAGUUCCUGAAGACCAUAGAUGAAAUACACCAGAAUACUGUAUGGUUACACCCCAUAAACGCUUUUUUGCAGCAUGAGGAAAUGGUGGAAGUUGGCUCUAGCACAUUUCAACAACGUUAUUCAGCCAAGCAUAAGAAUAAGGGAGCUGAAUGGAAAAAUGAAAGAAAAGAAAAGAAACACACCAGUCUUUGGAACAUUUACUUUUUGCCAGGAUUUGAGGUACUUUCAGAUUAGGAACAUUUUCCAGCUUCCCUAUUAAAAACCUUUUCUUAGCUAUAAAUAGUGCUAGUUAAGCAGCAACGAGUGGCAAGUGAAAUUUCAUUUGAUAAGAAGACUUCCAAAUCAGAGAUCCCUGCUCUUUCAGCACAUAUAUAACCAUGAACAAUGAGGUCCUAUCUUUCAAGGAGGAUCAAAGGAUCUUUGAAUUGAAAGAAUUCUCACAGAGAUGUCUUUGGCAGCAUGUUCUUCUGGUCUCUCUCACUGUGCAGAAAUUAUGAAAAGAAUAAAGUUAUUUAUCGUAUUGGAAGGACCAGACUCUUGCUGUUAAAACCGAGCAUGUGGAGGCUAGUGAGGAAUUAUUCUUUCCCUUUCUUCCUUAUCUCCAGUUUUCUUCCUGUGAUCCUCGUUGAGAGACAAUGUUCGAGAUUCUCACCAGGUAAAAAUGCAUCCACUGUGGCCUAAGAAAUAAGUGGUGUUCCCACUUUUGGUUGUUAUGGAGAAAGACUAAAUAAAAAUGUUGAGGAUGACUGAGGUAGGGCUGUUCUUAGCUUGAGGCAAGGGGUGGAAUAGGUGAUGUCUUGAGGUGCCUUUCAUAUAUACGUAUGUCUAUGAUUCAGUGAUGCUUGAGUGUACACAGGGAACCGAGUCUGUGGCCAGCAGGCCGAUUUGCUCAAUUUUUUGAAUCCCUUGAAUGCCAGAUUGGAUUUUACAGGGUAAUUUGAUUUAAAAAUAUCCUAUUCAUCCACAGGAGCAGGAGACGAUUUCUAUAACAAUCUCAUCCUCUCUCCAUAGGGUUUUUACUUGGUUGAUUAUUUUUUCAUUUUUUUAUGUUCGUGCUUUUGCAGGUUUAGACAGGGAAAUUAUGUUUUCUCCCAUUCCAGGACUUCAGUAAGUCAUCAAAGUUUCCCAGUUUUCCUUUACUGAAGUGAGGGCUAUUUAAAGUAUUUAAUCUUCUUAAUCUUUUUAGUGGCAGGAAGCCAUUUAGGUGAUGUUUUUCCAAGUCCCAUGAAGGGCUGUGGAAAAAUCUGGGUGCCCAGCUCUGACUGGAGGCUAAAUGAGUCUGGUAAAAGCUGUUUACAGUAUCCCAGACUGUGCCUUGUCUGGACCUAGUGAACAAAGCAGUAAAAUAUCUCCUGGUUUCAGUGUUUCAGGACAUACUUAUUUCACGUAUCAGAGGGUGGGUGGAAGAGUGGAGGAAGAGACUGAAACAAGCUGCGGGUGUUACAGGAAGCAGGACGUAAUGAGCCAAUGAGUUAAACUCUUAUCUCCCAAGAAGUGGAAAUGAAUCAAUGUUCAUUUACUCCAGAGCAGCUUCCAUUGGACUAAAAAAGGCGGGAUUUGUGGGUCCUGGCCUGCCAGAAGCAAUGAGACAGACACUGAGUCCCUAUCCAUCUGGGUCUAUAAAAAGAUAAAUGGCUUUUUCAUUGGAGAAGUAUGAAGAAGAAGGGAACUAGCCACAACAGAUUUAUGCAGUUGCAGCUGAGAUCAUUAUUUUUUAUCACCUCUAAACCAAUUUUUCUCCAUACUUGUUUAGAACAGGUCUUGUUUGUUGCCUGUCCUCAAUAAUAUCCCUUCACACUAGGAGUUGGAUUGACUUUCCAAAAUGUAGGCAUUUAAUGCUUUUUGAGAUAUCUUGUGCUAUCCAACAUACCCACACGUGGCUAGCAGAUAGGACAAAGGAUCUAAGGGAUACCCAUGCCCUUCUGGAGUGGCAGCUGGAGGCCGGGGAGAUCCCUCAAGGCACUGCAGUUAUAUAUGUCUAUGAUCAAACAGCUGAAUCCCUCUGGCAGUGGGAUAUUGGUCCUCCAGUGAGAUGGCAGCUGCUGUUAGCAGAAGGACCUAGAUGGUCAGAGUUAGGGAAGAAACCAGUACUGUAUCCCAUUAUUAUAAACAUCAAGUCUCAGAGAAUUUUGAAUCAUAUUGGUAGCACAGUCCUGUUGUCUGAGCUCAGGCCAUUUGGGGCAACAAAGAAAGGAAAGCAAAAAAUGCUAUGCAUCGUUGGAGAAGGAGCCCUGCCAAAGAACUGAGUCCACAGGGAUCAUGGCAGAAAGCGAGACCUAAAACAACAUCUUCCAUGUGGUGUUGGCUUAACUCAAUGGAUAACGUUAAAUGAAAGAGAAGCAUUUCAUCGGUCUCCUGUUGAUGUCAGUCUCGUGUGUUGAGAUGAGAAGUUGACCUUUCUAAACUGAAAUGGUCCCCUCCAGGAAAGUUUAAAUAUUUUGACCUUGUUCCAGAGAGGAAAACAAAUGUCAAAAUAUCAGAGCCUCUUUGUGCAAGAACAAUGUCAUUGCCCCAUGUGCUGUGCAGUUGCGUUUAUUGCUUUGUUUAUUCAUGUGAUUUGAUAUUUUUCAGUGGAAAUUUUUAAAUGGAGAUGUUUGGGAUUGGUUUUGAAGACUGGAACAAGACUGAACAUAUUUCUUUGGGACUUCUUCUCUUUUCCUCUUCCUUUUCCAAAUAAUAUGAUAAAUUGAAUCCUGUCUAGAUUCCACAUGCACAUGUCUAGACUUCAUGCACACAUAUGAGUGUAUUUGCAUACAGUCACACACACGCAGUGGCAGAGUGGCAAGAAGGUAACGAACAUGAACAGAACCUUGUGGAUUCCAUACAGUGGCAGUAUGGAGAAGCGAGUGGGGAGAAAACUCAAAAAACAGAAUGCCAGAAAUGUGGGGGGGAAAGUGUCAAAGAGGAAAGGGAGAGCUGAUUGCUGCAUUCCUAUCGCUUUCAAGUAGAAACAAACCAAAAAAUUGCCAGCCAAUAUGUCGACAAGUAGUACUUUAUUCUACACCAGAACUGGAGAGUAAGCCAAUCCUUGGACUUUCUACACAUUGCAUAUCUUUAGCUGAGAGGUGAGAGACUUUCUGGAGUACAUUAAAAAACAUAAUGAAUAUUCAACAUGCUAGCAGCAUUCACAUGCUUAACUUUAGCUAUUUAAAGAUACGUUUCUAGGCUAUCACAGAUACAUAUCUUUGGGUGGCCAUAAAAGCUAAUGUUGUCUUCUUUCUCUAGUGGCUCCAGAGGGAGCUUAGAUGAUUAGUUUAAGCUAGACAACUCACUUUCAGAUGGCUAAAGUUAGGUGAAGUUAAUCCCAUUUUUGCCAUUCAUCCCCUGCUGCUGCUCAGUCUCCAGUUGAGACACUGCAUACUCAUUAACUCCAGGACAGCUUCUGGUGAGCUAAAAAAGGAAGGAAUUUAUGAUUUCAGAAGAGGAUAAACAUCAAGAUCCUUCCUCCUGACAAAUGCCCUUGGAAAAAACAGAAGGCAGGCAGUGGGGGAGAUGCUAUGUAGACAGAAGAGUCUUGAAAUAGAAAGUUGGUCCAGCAUUUCUGUGAGAUGUCAGCAAUUUUUAACUGAGCUUUGCCUGCAGAUAUUCAACCAGUUGGAACUAAUCCAUUUCCAGAAGAGGUGAAUCAGUGUCUAGCAAUUCACUAAGCCAGUUGCCCAACUGCUGGUUGCUAGAUAUCUGUAUUUCAUUGCCUUCAUGAGGGUAGAGUCCACCGGCAUGCACAAGUGCAUCCAAGGAGGCAGCCCCAAGGUCUCAUCUGAGCCGAUGAGAACAGGAACCACGGCUGUCAAGCAGAACAUCUCAGGGCAGGGCUUAAACCUUUGUCAGUGUGGGAUGAGACACCAGGAGGGAUGAGGGGGAGGGAGUGAAAAAUGCUGUCUAAACUAAAGAACAAUGUUGUUACUGGGGCAGCAAGUAUAAAUUGGCAUUGAGUAUGUUUAGGCUGCAAAGGAAAAGAUGGUCUCUGCUCAUCCAAGGGGAGAGGUUCCCAAAUGAAGUGGCAUAGUGAGGGCAGAAGCUGAGAUAGUUGUUUGAAUACAGAGCUGCAUACAUUUCCUUGUGUGUUAUAUAGUAAAUUUUUCUGAAAUAAGAAGGAGCUGAAUUAAAUGGAAAACAAAAUUUUGUUUUGCAUUGGCUUACAUUAUGGUCAGAGACUGCAGUGAUUUGCCACCAAAAGAUUGAAUGAACCUGGCGGGUUAUUCAGGUCUCUGCCUGUAAAAUGGAGUAAUGUAUUUAUCUUCAUAGGACACAAACGAUGGCCAAGAACUUAAAACCCCUUGUUUAGUACUUGAAAGACUUUAAACCUCAAUAAACUAAAAAUCCCUUUCUGUGGGACUUCCUGAAGGACAGCUACUUCAGGUGAGAUUCAACUUUUAUACUAAGGCAGCUAAAAUUAGAGGUGAGAUUCAAGCUGAGAUUCAGACAUUGAAAAGUGAAGGUGUAGUCACUGCACAGAUUAUUUUAUUUACACGGAAUCAGCCAGAAACAAAAAUCUCCUUUUGAAAAGACCCUGGUGAGAUCUUUCUCAUGCAACAGCCGCAGCAUGCCCAAAGGCAGAAGACAAGGCGUUAUGUUCAGCAUUAAAGGCAACACAGUGAGGAGCCUUAUGGUCUUCAUUCAUCGAUGAGGCACUACUUAAACACAAAGAGUAGUCUAUCUCACCUAAGGAUACAUGUCUAAAACUUUGAUAUCUGGUCAGAGUGGUCUAGGCUCCCUCUAGAGUCAGUGGAGAGAGGCAGACGUUUCCAGAAGGUGAACUGGAGAUCACCUUUUGGAAGUGCCUCUGAUCAGGUGGUCUGCGUGACUUGGGGGGAAGAAGAGCUUACAUUUUCAAUAGCUAAUGUUUGAUUUGGUAAAUCCCAUGUGACAGCUUCUGUGAUACCUGUUUUGUUUUAUACCAGUUCUUAUCUGCUCUACCUUUAAGACUGGUUCAUAAAGCAAUGACUCUGAUCUGGAAAACCCGAUCACAAACCCCAGCAUUCACUGAUAUCCAUGUUGACCAUCCCAGCACAACACCUAUUUUUCCCUUUGGUACCCAGUGAGAUGGUGUAUGGGAAUCUUUCUCUCAGUUGAUGCUGCUACAUGCUAGCGGACGGCGACCCAUUUUCUUUCACAAAAUCUAAUCAAGGAGGAUCCUUAGUGCUGGAGACUCUGGUGGUUGAUUCCUUUGGAUGGACCGUGGUUCCUGAAAAACUAACAUGACACCUCUCUAUGGCUGGUCUGAGAGGAAGAGCUAUGGUCAAGUCCUGAAAGUGACUUCUUAUUGUAAAGAUGAAAUACACUGGCAGGGUUGAGUAAGGCGGGAACGCUAUCCGAUGUCACUCUUAACCUGUUCUUUAAACAUAUGAAUUCAUCUGACCCUGCUGUUGUGUGGCCUUUAAGGAAUUGUCUAUGACUUCUAUCUUCCCUGAUGACAGACCAUUUUGUGAUUCAGGCAUCAGGCUGAAUCCAGAAAAUGCUCUAGGCUGAUUACUGAGGGUCAUAUUUGGACUGGCUACUCAGGUACCCAUGUAGAUGUGCCAGACAUUUCUUUACCCUUUUCUGUAUAAGGUAUGGGACCCACAGGCCUGGAUAGUGGGUUGGCCAAAUCACUCAUUGAUUUCUUGACCUUAGGUUUCAUAAUAUUUGUGGUACACCAUUUUUAUAUGGUCUAAAUACAGCCUUGUCUUGUAGUAAGUUGGAUUCAAUGCACUUAAAUUUAGGCAUUUAAAAGUUGGCAUCUAGUCUAAACUAGUUACGUUGGUAUUGUACCAGAGAUCGAUUCACCUCUCCUAGUGCAGGCUAAGCUGCUCUCUGGAGAAGCUGAUCUCUCUUUGUGGACUCUAGAGGGAGCCUGGAUGACUGCUUUAGUGUAGAUAUGCAAUUUCUAGAUAGCUAAAAUGAGGUGAUAUGAAACAUGACAUCUCUGUUUCUUAUCUAGUAAUUAGUAUUGUAUUUCACUACCUCAGCAAAAUGCAAUGUUCAGUCUUGGACUCUAUGCUGUUCCAGUCAUCUUCUAUGUUGUAUGUAUACUUGGAUGAGAGAUUGCUAGGAAGCAAUGUAGGUACCAUAAGCAAAACCCAAGGAUGGUGGGGAACGUUAAGCACUGAUGAAAGACUCCUAUUGCCAUUAACUUGCUGAUGGAUAGAAAAAAUGAUGGAAACUCUGGUAAAUAUUGAAGUUCUGCAUAAAUAAGGAAAAAUUCUUUAAACACUGAAGAAUGUAAGAAAGUUAUAUGUAUCAGUCACACUUAAUUCUAUCCUUCCUCAUCAAAACGAUAAAGCUUAUCACAAUUAUUUUACAGCAUUACACCUCCUUAAUAUUUUUGCAGAUAUGUUUUGCUUCUGUCCUUGUCUAGCUGCCUGUCAAGACUCUCAGUCCAUAUCUCUGUAACUUUUGAACCUGUUGCUCAAUUUUAAAUAAAUUUAACAGAUGGAUGAAAGUCCUGUAAAUAUUAAGUUACUGCAAGUUUUGUGAAAAUAGGUUGCUGGGUGGAGAAGAAAAUUUCCGGAAAAAAACUGCCCCCAAGGGAGAGGCUGCAGUGUGAGCUCAAUCACCAAAGAAACUGUAGGAUGGAGCCACAGGAAG